CCGCCCCGCUGGGAGCCGCCCCAGCGCCCCCCGGGAUCGUAGGGCGCCGCCCGUCCCUAGUUUGCCGAAGCCGAUAGGGUCUUCAAGCGUCGUGCUUAGGAAGCAAAUGCAUGAGAUGAUGCUUUGGGCCAGGAUAUCGUACUGCUACAAUAUAGAGAAAAGACAUUUCCCAAUGACAAGAAAAAUAUUUUUAAUACUGGUAAAAAUCAAAAUGAACACAUCCUCUCCUCACAUCUAUACAGAACAGGAUGGGGAAGUCUAUAUUCUACCUGAUGUUCUGUGACAGUGCUAUUCUAAGGGCUGUUAGGUGUCAAGGAUCUUUGGUAACACCAGAAACAGAAGAUGACCUCUAAGAGCUCAGAAGUGUUCCAGUAAUAUGCUUCAACCACUAAUGGGCAUUUAGCCUUCGGGACUGCAAGUUGCCUUACAUGCAAGUGUGGACAUCUGACCUCAGAGCAUCAAUUUUUGUGCUCUGUUAUAGCUGAUAUAAUUGCUAAUGCAAGAAUGCCUCUGAGAGACAGUGAAUAAUCUUUCCUACAACAUCUUUAUCCCAUUCAUAAUUUUACAGAUCUCUUGUUUCUGUUUUCUCUAAUACGCUUUCCUAACAAAAGAAUUUUUGAAUUUCCUUUGUAUGGAAAAAGCUUCAAAACUUCAGACUAUUCUUUCCCCAUUAUGCUUCAUCCUCCUUUAUUUUUCUCUGAGAUGAUGUAAUCUAAAAUUAUAUGCAAAAUUUAAGUUGUGGGAUCACUACAAAUCUAGAC